rnacentral:rRNA from 1 species
UACGAAGGGGACUAGCGUUGUUCGGAAUUACUGGGCGUAAAGCGCGCGUAGGCGGAUCGCUAAGUCAGGGGUGAAAUCCCAGGGCUCAACCCUGGAACUGCCUUUGAUACUGACGAUCUGGAGAUCGGGAGAGGUGAGUGGAAUUCCGAGUGUAGAGGUGAAAUUCGUAGAUAUUCGGAGGAACACCAGAAGCGAAGGCGGCUCACUGGCCCGAUACUGACGCUGAGGCGCGAAAGCGUGGGGAGCGAACAGG